rnacentral:rRNA from 1 species
UACGUAGGUGGCGAGCGUUGUUCGGAUUUACUGGGCGUAAAGGGUCCGCAGGGGGCCGGCCAAGUCCGAUGUGAAAUCCCGGAGCUCAACUCCGGAACUGCAUUGGAAACUAGUCGGCUAGAGUCUCGGAGAGGAGAGUGGAAUUCCAGGUGUAGCGGUGGAAUGCGUAGAUAUCUGGAAGAACACCGAAGGCGAAGGCAGCUCUCUGGACGAGUACUGACCCUCAGGGACGAAAGCGUGGGGAGCAAACAGG